rnacentral:lncRNA from 1 species
GAUAAUCAAUCACUUAUAGUCUAGAAUACAUUUGUAACUUAGCUGUAGAGAAAUACAUGAUUUGUUAUUCUUUUAAAUAAUAAUGACUCAAAAUAUCCAAAUAACUAGUAGAAUACAUUUCUUACACGGUAAGAAACAUGAACUUUUUUCUCUCCAUCUAAACCACAAGGAAAGAAGUAAAAACAUGGAAAAGGACAAGUGAUAAAACGGCGUCUUCUGCUCCACUUGUCUCUACCGCAGUCCACAUACAAAACCGAACCACCGUCGCGAAUCGUGAAGCGGAUCCGACGCCCCGGGCGCCUCCUAAUCACAAAUCCGCUAGAUAACUAUGAGCACGAGUGCACUGUUCCAUUUUCUUGACAACACAAGUGAAGUGCGUACAAUAACGCUCACCAUCAAGGCACCACCCCUGGUUGGCUCUAGUCUCUAGAAUGCGUACAUCACACCAUCUUCUCCAGGCCACAAAAUCCUGUGCCCCCGAAUGUUGUUUCUUUCUCUGGCUUGCCUUGCAACACCGGUGAUUCUCGCUGCAGAAUGCUUGACUGCCGAUCCACCUUUUGGAUAUAAAAGAUUCGGAAAUUAGAAAAAACCUAGCAGAUAUGGAAGUUUUCGUUAAAAACAGUUUUUUAACGACAAUGGACUGGAGACGUAUCAAAAAUGGAGAACAAAUUAACAUGACAAUAAUCUGGUCAUGAUAACUUUUAAUAAAAAUAAACACAGUAAAGUAAAGUCAGCCUCUUCUCGUCAACUUCAAUAAUCCCAAAACAGCACUCUGCUUACUGACUGGAAUAUGAGAGCUUCCAUUAUGUUCAGCGACAACAAGCAACUACCAAAAGGAAGUAAUGUAAGCUGCUGGCAGCAGUGAAAAGAAAGGAAGAUAUAACAUGAUUGCAUUUGUAACUGAGCAGCCCUUUUCAGGAAAGAAGACAAUUGCGCUAGGUAUAUGACUGGAGGCAGAGGACGAAAAAAAUUUAAGGUGUGGCGAAGUCUUAAGGAAAUAAUUCUUUUGAUGCAAAUCAAAAGAGUCAAGACAAAUUACAAACGAAAAACCAAAUACAAUGAAUAUGUAGGCAUGUUUCAAUAGGAAAACAACCUAAAAUAUACCGAUAAUGAAGCUUUCAAUGGCAUGUGCCGAAAUAUUGACACUUUCACGGGUGCUUGGAUUUGAUUUUGAGUUGCUGCCACUACCAAGCACUUCAAAAUACUUCUUCAAAUCUGCAAUCACAACAUUAAUAUAUCACUACAAUCUGCUUGAAUUUAAGGCUUGAAGCUGCUGUUCAAAAUUGCUAUAAAAUUUCAGAACAAAGAGAAAUUACCUCUUCCCCUUUUCUUUGGAUUUGCUAGUCCAUUCCCCUUUCUAUCCAUCUUCUAGUAAU